UUCAGGCUAGGCUUGUAUUUCUGGUAUAUUUCGCAAGUUAAGGUCAAAGUUAUGUGCAUUCAUUGAACUAUAAUUUGUGAUGGCAAUUCAUGCUGGAUUUAAAACUUGGUGUUGAACUAAACUUUAUUUAUCAGUCCACGAUUAAUUAUUUGUGUUCCAUAAUUAUACAAGUUCUAAACAACUAAGUAAUUACGGUAACAAGUCUUGUACUUAUCUGCAUAUGUAGUUUUAAAGAGGUAUUUGUACUACAUACCCGCUAGAGAUGCAUGAACAUUUGGAUCACGUUAAAGAAGGAGGACUUUAUUCAGCGUCACCCCAGCCCUCAUCGUCUUUCGGCCACCAUUCAAUCGUCGUAAACGGGACACGGUUUCGAAUAGGAAUUUGUGGAAUAAUUUCUAUCACUGUUACCAUUUUGCUCCUGACUUUGCUAAUAAUUGUACUUUUGGCUGCCGCAGUUCUUCUUUAUUCUCCGAUUCCAUUAAUUAAAUUUGACUUGAUUGGUAAUAUUACUGGAGCUAUGAACGCGAGUUUAGGAACUCUGGGUCAUGCUUAUAUCACACCCGAGCUUUCAUUAGGUCUGAAGUUUAUUUUGUAAAUUCAAAUUUAUUUAACUAUUACUUACAGUAAUGAGAGACUGUUACAUUUUCAACAAUGAAUUUUUCCAAAUAAAUCAGUCAAAAUUAUUGAAA